GGGGGGUGUUUCAUAAAGCUUUUGACUUACGACUAUAACAAAUCUGGUAUCUAUGACAAAUCUGAUUACGACUAUCGUAGCUUGUUAUUGAAGUGAAAAUACGUUUCAUAAAACUAAUAACAAAGUGAUCGUUUAAAAAACGAUCAUUACGAUUAUGCGCGUGCGCAAUAGCUCCAUUGUGCUUUGCCGUCGUCUGCAAUCACCGUGACAAUGAACCCAACUUCGCCGCUUGAAAUGUUUUUUUCAUAGAAAUCCCGAAAAUGUACAUUGAGACUUGUCGCAGUACCAAAUGCUUGCCUCCUCUGAGAAUGUGCUUGAAACAAGAAUGUCCUGA